rnacentral:ribozyme from 1 species
GCAGCGCCAUGUUUGCGCUGUCGGACACCGACAGUCUGCCUCUCUUUGUGCCUGGUAUGUGCCUGAUUGCCUUUGGCGGACCAGGCACGCAGAACGCCAUCAUC